GUUAGACGCUCCGUUCACAGGACUCAAAAUAGGAGAAUUUUCCCCAUUGGUUUUUCAGAUUUAUAGACUGAUAUGAGAGGGUGUAGCUGCCAUCUAUUUAAACAUGUAAAACCACAGGCCUCCGAGUCCAGAAAGGCAGUUGGUAAGUAGGCAUAAGAAGCCAAUACUGUGCUGAGUUCCCGUACAAAUACUGGAUGCUGACACUAGGAGGCUUCCUUCUUGUGACGAGUGGGAUCAAAACAGCUGAAACUCCCUUCCUGCCAAGCACAGGAAAGGAAAGGUCUAAAGCUGCAGUUUUCAUGUGGGAACACUGUCGACUUCGCAGAAAGAAGUUGACUCGCCUGUGUGAAAAAAGACAUCAUCCUUAUCUUGCCUCUUCAUCUUUGAGAUGUUGAUAUGGAUAAAGAAGACAAUAAACCAAGACAAUGUACUUCAACUUGUUGAGGGUGGGGGAAAAGUUAUCAGAAUUGCAUUGGCUAUGUGACUCAUGAAAG
ensembl:lincRNA